rnacentral:lncRNA from 1 species
AUAUAUUAUUUUUUUGUAACCCUUUUUUUUUUAUUACUUUUUCCUCUCUCCACAAACCCGUUCGCAUAUCCAUAACCAGUUUACAUUUAUUUAUUUAUUUUUCAAAAAAUGGGUGUUCGAAGAUUCAUAGAAUGCUGGUUCAAUUGCAUGUUGUUCUUUCUUUCGAACUGGAGGAGUGACCUAGUCCCUCUCUCUCUCUCUCUCUCUCUCUCUCUGUGGCUUGGGAAGAAGCUAUGGCUUACCUCCAUUACAGCCCAUCACCUAUAUUUUGUCUGUGUUUUGAUCAUUUGGUGCAGAGGACAAAUUGGACCCAUAAGAUUUGGGAUAUUUUAGGAGUAGUAAACAAUGUGUGUCUAACCAAAUUUGUUGGUUUGGACUUUGGACUAACCCGUCAAGAGAGCCUAGCUAAAGCUUUUGCCUCGUGGUUGGACUGGGAGGACCAACACUACGGAUCCGUUUGGUAAUGCUUAAAAACUAUUUUUUUUUUAAGUUUGUUAUCAAAAAAAUCAAGAUUUUUUAACUUUUUUGCUUUUAUGGCUUUAGUUUAGCUAAAACUAAAAAAAAAAGAAAGACAAAAAAGCUAAUUCUGAUUGUUUUUUUUGUUUAUUUUAAGCAAGAAAGUCAGAAAAAAAUUGAAAAAAGUUAGUGGCAAAACGGAGUCUACGUCGGUUGAGGUUCGCUUUUUAGUUGAGGCCUCAUACCUCUUUUGCUAUCUAGACGAAAGUUUCCUGAAUCUUAAAACUAAUCUUUUCGCUAUGUACUGUUAGAAAAUCCAUUUGAAUUAAUCUAAUGAGAGUUUAUCUGAGAUUAUUUUUUUUUCCCCCCGUAAAAAUAUAAUUUCCUUUUUUCUCAAAAGUGUGUAGCCCACAUAAGUAUGAUCUAAUGGUCAAAACCUUUAAAGGGGGCAAUAGUUUCUAUUAGAUCAUUUUUUGUGGGACCUAUAGACAAAAAAUAAACAAAACACCCAUUUCUUUUUCUUUCUCUCUUUUUUCAAAACUAGCAAUAUUUUUAUUAAAAUCUUAUACUUUUUAAUUUAUUCUCAUUUUAUUUUAGCAAUGUAUAAUGUAUCUUCUUUUUAUCGGAUUGUUUAUACUUAUCUUUUUUUAGAUUGUAAAACUCUUUAACCCUUAUAGACUUUUAUUUGCUAUAGUGACUGUGGACAAGAACAAGUAAACGGUGCGGUUGCACUUACAAGUUCUUUUGAGUAGUGAUAGGUACACACCCCAAAAAAUGGGUGUGUACAAGACACACCAUUUUCCCUCCUCACAAAAUAAGUGGGACCACGCCUAAUUAAGGGAUUUUCAGACGUUUUUUUAAAAACCCUAAUUAGGGCGGUUCCCACUUAUUUGGUGGAGGCAAAAUCAGUUUGGGCUUCCUGGCCAAUUAAAGCAAUUUAUUCUAAAAUUAUUUAUGAAGCUAUUACAAACACAAGAACAAAAGUAAGAGCAAAUUAUUACUUCAAAAUAUUGAGCAUAUUUUAACUAAAUAAAGGAAAGUUUAUGGCACAUAACCUGUGGUUUUAGUGUUUGUAUCAAAUAUAACAAACAAAAAACGGUUAGGUUCUAAAAGAUCAAGGCUAUAUUUAAAUUAAUGAUUUAAUUGUUUGAGACUAUUAAAUUCUUAUUUUUUUUUACUAAAUAUUUAAAUUAAGGAUUUAAUUAUUCAGUGCUGUUAUAUCUUGAACUUUUUUAUUUCUUUUUUUUUUACUACAUCCUUAAUCCAUACACAACCUAAUAACUCCUAUUCUAUCAUUUUUUUAUUGUUUCUAAUUUUUAAAACUUUAAAAAAAUGUAAUAACUACUAGCAAAAAAAUAAAAAGAAAAGAAAGUAAGAGCUAUAGCAAAAAAGCUAAUAAAGAUGUAAAAUUCUGAAGAAAAAUGUAAUGCUAAUUAAAAAAGAAAAAAAAAAUGAGAAGUUGUAAAAAAAAAUAUCGGAAGUUUUUUGAAUAUUGAGAUUUUAAAAAUAAAUUAUAAAAAUAUCGUUGUUUUGAUAAGACGACGUCACUUUUGACUUAUAAAAAGACGAUGUAUUUAAAAAAUUAAAUUUAUUUCUAAAAGGGAGAAUUUCGCUGCCGUUUUUCUCACGCGCCAUGAGGGACAGUGCGCGUAUGGUUAACAUUACAAGAGUCAAGUAACGGACCCGGGUUAGGGCUGGCAAAAGGCUGUUUGGCUAGAGCCUAGUCGGAUAACUUCUUUCUCCCUCUAUUCGGCGUUUAGAUGGAGAAAUUCUUUCCGAAUAACUUUUUCUCCCGAAUAACCUUUCUCCUAGUAGGCGGAUAAAGAUGGAUAAUUUUGGGGUGGGCCUCACCCUCCCCAAAAGUUAUCAGGGAGGAUUGCAGAUUUAUCAUUUCUGAUCCGGUCGAAAACGAGACAGUGAAUUAUUCAGCAUGCGUCUCUCCUCUCUCCUCCCGUGUAAAAAUAUAUAAUAUAAAAAUUUAAUAGUAUGAUAUUUUUUAUAUUAUAUAUUUAUAUAUGUGUAUAUAUAUAUAUUUUUAAUAUUUAAAUAUUUUAUAUUUUAAUUUUUUUAUAUAUAUUUUUUUUUAUCUUCACAAUUAUUCACAUAUUUUAAAAAUAUUCAAACAAAAUUAAAAGUUAUCCCUUUCAAAAUUAUCCCCUCUAAAACUUAUACAUACUAGCUAGCGGCCAAACGACUCCUAAAGGCUAAAUCAUGGAGCGCAGCUUCGGCCCUAAUGUUCUCGCACCCCUUGUUUUGGUGUGGUGGCGGUAACCCAUAGACACCGAGACUCCACCCUUAUUUUUGCAUUUCGUGGCGUCUCCGAUCGCACUCCGUCUUCUAUGAUCUAUCUUCACAUAUCAAUACCUCUCUCUCUCUCUCCCUCGUUUUCCUGGUAAGCAUCUUCUCUUCUCUCACUACAUGUAUGCGCAUUGCACUCCCACCCUCCCACAUCUAGAUCAUAGGGUUUUCGAAAGGAAGAUGGGGGGUGAGCUAAGAUUGGGGGUGAGUAUACAGGGACACGUUGCUGUAUGUAUGUAUGUAUAUCUGCCGAAUCGUUGAACAGUUGAAGAAUUCAUACUGAUCAGUUCUGCGCUAAUGAUUGUAGAAUGCUCAGCCUUAGGUUACAUUAGAACUGUAAUUUAGCGAUUUCUUGAUUGGGGCUGUUGGUGAUGAGACGAUGGUAUCUUGGUAUGUUUUCUUUUUCCUUUGGUUUCCUCUGUAUAGAGAAUUCUUGAAAUAAACACUAGUUUUGCUAAUCGAAGUGUGUUGGUUGGGUUACCGUUUGGCGUUGUGGCUUAGACUUGCUGGUGAGUUAUGACUCAGUGCUUACAUGAUGUUGUUCACAAACUCAUGCACUUGUGGCUUGUAAACUUCUCCAAGGUUACUGUUAAGCUUUGAGGGGGUGUUGGGAUAACAUUCGCAGUGGAAUUUGGGGGUUUGCUAUGGGAGACGCCUAUAGAGGGAGCGAGGUCGUCAAAAUUAUUUUUGAUCAGCGUAUUGUUUCCUGUCGAAGCUUUAUACACAUCUAUAAAAGGGGACACAAUUUCUAAAACCUACAUCCUCCCUACAAAAGGAACUUUUUCUCCGAGCCUCAAACUUUUCUUGUACCGUGCUGGCAGCCUUAAUAAGUCUGCGUGACUGAUUGUACCAUUAGCAAUUAUGGCUAAAACCUUUAUAACUUAAGACAGAAGAAGUAGUACAUUUGAGAAUUAAAAUACUUUUACAAGAUAAAAAUUGUUUACAGGCCGCCUGCCUUAUUGUAUGAUUAAAACAUGUUUUUUACGCUUUGCUUGGUCCCAACAUAAUUAAAACCGGCCAAUCGAGAAAAUAAUGCAGAUUUAAGUGGAAGAUCUUCUACAAGACACAAAUGGCAUUUGUGGAAACAGAUCAGGCAUGCCUGAGUAUGGUCGCCUCACUGGUUGUGAUUAGAUAUGUGUCGCCAUGGUAGUUGAGAUUGAGGUUCCAACACAACAUUUUUUCAUCCACGAAAACGUGUUUUUUCCCAUGAAACAGAAGUGACUAGUUUACCACCUCUACAAAACCAAUAAUUCCCUUCUAUGUAAUUUACAAAAACCACCCUUCUCCUGUUGUCAAUUUCUUUGUACCUAUGUUUUGUUUCUUGCCUUCUCUAAGCUGUGGUCUUUCGUUUUUUUUUUUUUUUAUCAAUAUGUAAAACAUGCUAUUUUACCAAAGUAUUCAGAAAAAUUUAGUGGUUCCCAUGGAUUUGGUAUUGUGUGCAUGCCAUGCUCUUACCCUAUGACAUGUGCGGGUACGGGUAUUGAUAAGGGGACAAUACGGGCACGUCUGUACGGUAAAACGUGAACAUAAAUAGGGUAGAGUCCCGUUCCUAAAAAAUAAAGUUACACCCAUUUAGUACUCAUUAAAAGUGUCCUUGGAUUGGCAACAUGGGAUACAGACUAACCAUUGGGAUAUAUCACAAAUGACUGUUCUCAAGAUUUGAAACUCAUAUCUCAUGUCUGGCUGAGCCAAGCCUUUUUGCCACUUGUUUUCAAGUGGCACACCACUACAAUCCCUAAAAAAUAUAUAUUUUAUAAUUUUAGUAAUAAUAAUGUAUCAUGGGAUACCAAAUAUCAAAAUUUAAUUAUAUCUUAGCUAAUUUAAGAAUUCAGGUAUAAAUGAAAGUUCACUAAGUAAUUAGUCACAAACAUAGUUUUAGUUUUUAUUAUCUUGAAGAACCUAGGCACUAAAGAUGAAAUAUUAUAACAUGCUAAGUUGAGAAAAGUCCGUCAAGUUAACAUACAAUCUCCGUAUAGAAAUAGAUUUUCCUGUAGGGUUCGGCUAAGAUAUAUAGUGGGUACUUUUAGGGUAGGUACAAAAAUAAAGAAAAAAACGGGUAACGCAUUUUGAAGUACCCUUUACAAUAUUUAGAAGUACCAUGUAAGUAUCGAACCCAGUGUGAGUACGACAUAGUUUUUAAAAGUACCCAUGCUACUCUGGCUUAUCACACCUCCUAAACAACUUUGUCAAUUAAACUCAACAAUAGUUUUAGUGGGAGGAGUUUGGGCCAUGAACUAAGGGGGGGGCUGCCCCCAAGUGCGGAUUAAAACUUCCCCGGGGGGGGGGGGGGGUUGUCAAAAACUCUUGAGGCCAACUCCCUACAGGGUUGGGCUGUGCCUCGGCUUUAAUUGGGCCGCUUCACUAAUGGGCAGUGGAAUGGUCCCCCAAAUUAGUCGGUCGUUUGAGCCGGAUACGAGUUAUCAAAAACAAUUGAUCUGCGAUCCCGGCACAACAAUAUUAAUGCACUCUUUCAAAUUUUUAAACAUUGCUCUGAUUCUAGGAGCCACAUACUCCCAAUCUCUCUUCAUCGCUUUUCUGAUACACUUAUUCCCGUAUCACGUCAAUAUCGAUACAAAAUUUAGGGCCUGUCUAGAAGAGCCCAAACUGGGUCUAGUGCCACAAGUAUAGGUUACGGUGCACUGCCUUAACAGGUGUCUUUCCACAAAAACAACCAGCUUACUCCCACUCUACUUGUUGUUCUGGCUUGUUUAAAACACUUGUCUUCACAGAUCUUCUCGUUUAAUCAAACUUAAGGUUGAAACAAUUUUGGAAGCUUGUUAAAUAUUUUGAUUCUUCUGAUCUCCUUUCUUCGGCUUGAUAAGUUAUUGUACAAAAAACUAGUAAGCUACUUGGCUUCACCACGAUUAAAGUUGUUGAUGAUCACUUGAACUAAUACAAUCCUUGAACAUUUCUUGAAAUCUGGUUAAGUUUUUCAAACCAGCUUAAGCAUACAGCUCAACUUGGCCCGUUUACAUCCCUAGUCUGAGGCCCACCUUUGUUUUGAGAAAGGUGUCGAAAACCUGGUUUUAAAAGAAACCAAGAAUUGAGUGUUUUUUCAAUAAAAUCAGAUAACUUAAUAGAGGUGGACCAGAACUGGUCUAUUUUUUUCAGAGUACCUGCACAGUCCCCUGGUUGCCUUUUAGACCUAGUUAUAAUUUGCUUUCAGUUGUAGAAGAUUGGCUAAAUUGAUCCAUGUUUAGUCAUUAGAUUAGAGCUCUGUUUCGGGAAUGAAUCUACAACAAGUUGCAAAACCCCCCCAGAUCGGCCUCUAAUGGGUAUGGUCGUCGGAGAGUUG